AAGAGCCUGCGACGGAUAGACUUUCCUCAUUUUAUAGAAGCUGAAAGUUUACCUGUUUGUGACCUUCAUAGAGGUUUAAAAACGAUCACU